AUGAGGACCACGAUAAGGAUGAUGAGUGAUGGCCCAUGGAAGGGCCUCCCCUUUUUGGAGCUUGAUGCCAAAGGGGGAGUGAGCUCACCAUGGAUGGAGUUAUCUUUUCUUUUGAGUUUUUCUAGUUUAUAGCUUGUGGACGUGUAAGGACUAUGUGUGGUGUGAUGCAUGGUGUGCCAAGUGAACUUUUAUGGUUGUAAGACUUAUUUAUGAUUUGCUCUUCUAGUGUGGUUUUAAACUCUUAUUCAUAUGUUUUGGUGAUCAUGAUUUGGUGUAUUGUUUAUCUCCACUUUGUUGAAGUGUUAUAUCUUAUCAUAUGCAUCACAAUGAUAUACUUGUCACACCUUUGCACCCCACGAAUGCAACGAUAUAGGGGGAACUCACUUAACAUGUGCAAAUGGCAUUUGAGGCCAUUUUUGUCUCUAUCUCAAAAAGAUGCACAUGUUAAGGGGGAGUCCACCUAUAUGGUUGGAUUCAAAAUAUUUAUAUAUUUCUCAUGUGAGCCUUAAUUGUGUUGUCAUCAAUCACCGAAAAGUGGGAGAUUGAAAGUGCAUUUGGCCCCCUAAGUGGGUUUUGGUGUUGAUGACAUGCAUGAUUACAGGACUAAUGACUUUAUCAAGUAAUUGACAGGUUUUAAUUCUAAAGAAGUGCAAAGGUGUAUUGAAAGAACCUCAAGCACCCCCAAUUUCAAAGAAAGGACACUGUUGAGCUCAAAAGAAGAUUUCUCUAUAUUUUCUAAUUUUGAAUUUGAGUAUAGAACACCGUACGAUAAAGGGGGAUGCAGAUGGAUAGCUUGAAGAUGUUAAAAUGCUCAAUUGAGAUGCUAACCACCCUUGAGAGACACAAAUCACUAACUUGCACAUCUGUUUUCUCAUAGAUUCUAUGAGUGUCAGAAGUUCCGACACCGUCCGGAAGUAUUUAGAAACUUCCAACCGGGGGUCCUCGGCCGAUUUAAUCUAACAGUAUCGGAAGUUUCAACCCUGUGUCGGAAGUUUCGAUAAAGGCCACCGGAAGUUUCUUAAAACUUUCGAGGAGAGGCUCUCAACCAUUUUAAUUUAACUUCGUCGGAAGUUCCGACAGGCACAUAAACGCACUAUAAUGGCUAGUUUUAGGGGUUCGAGUAUAAAUACCACCUCUGCCCCCCCCAUUCAUUGCUGCUGAACAACCCCAAGCCAAAACACCUCUUGAGCAUUGAAUACACCUCUCCC
rnacentral:lncRNA from 1 species